rnacentral:rRNA from 1 species
GACGAACGCUGGCGGCGUGCUUAACACAUGCAAGUCGAACGGCGUGGCGAACGGGUGAGUAUUACGUGAGUAACCUGACCUCAACUGUGGGAUAAGCCUGGGAAACUGGGUCUAAUACUGCAUAGUUGGGGAGGGGCUCGCGGCCUAUCAGCUUGUGGGGGGGGUGAGGGCCAACCAAGGCGGUGACGGGUCGGCGGCCUGAGAGGGGGGUAGGCCGCAUGGGGACUGAGAUACGGCCCAGACUCCUACGGGAGGCAGCAGUGGGGGAUAUUGCACAAUGGGCGCAAGCCUGAGGCAGCGACGCCGCGUGAGGGAUGAAGGCUUUCGGGUUGUAAACCUCUUUCGGUACAGAACUGGUAUGUGCAGAAGAAGCGCCGGCUAACUACGUGCCAGCAGCCGCGGUAAUUC